CCUUUUGUUUUUGUUGAUUUUUCCUUUGUUUUCCCCUAAUAUUUCCUAUGUUUUUUUCAUCUUUUGGGAGCCUCGAUCGGAUGGGAGACCUAGAGGUCGAGUAGCUGCAUGCAGCGCCCGGGGCAGAGGAGGUCAAUGGCCUGAGGGUCGAGGAGCUCAGACAUCCACGGACACUUGAUGAAGUGCCAGUGGGGACCGUAG
rnacentral:lncRNA from 1 species